AUGGGACACAGUGCUCAGUCUAGAAGAUACUAUCAGAGAUGCUUAGUUUUGCAGUUCUCAAACUGUGCAUUUCGGUCUCCAGAGAUAAUAUGCUUGUUAACAGCAAAAAUGUUUUUAAAUAAAUAAAUAUACAUAGAGAGGUGAGAAAUAACAGACCUCCACCCUAUUGUCCCUCUGCAAAUUUGUAUACACAGAGUCAAUCCCUUACCUCUCUCUAAAAGUGCAAAGUUCCAAAAAGUUCAAUGAAUAGAAGAUUGCUGGUGGCAGAACAGAUUUGGACAAGGAGAAGUAGUCUGGAGAUAAAUGUGAGAAGGGAGGGACAGGCAGUAGAAACAAAAGUGAAACUGUUUGAGCAACAUAUUCCAUAAGUCUUGAGGUCUUUCUGAGGGUAGCCGUCAUUGAUUUGAGGUCUACCAUACUAUUCUCUCACUAGAAGGGAAAACCUAUAAUGGCAGUAGGCCAUACUAUUUUAAUGAAGCUCCUCUACCUGUGGGUAAGACAGGCAUGCGUGCAAAAUGCAAACAGUGUAACAAAGAAAUACAAGGCCUGGUUGCCUAAAUGAAACAACAUCAUGAGAAGUGUUCCUUCUCAGGAGGAAGCUGUGUUGAAGAGGAUGAAAGGAACAUGUCUGAACAUGCAGGAUCUUCAGGAGAAUCCAUCCUCAACAUACAGGAUUCUGAAGACUAUCCACCCUCAAGAUCACUAUCAUUUUCUAUAGUUUCAGAGCUAUCUGCCAAGGAUAGUGUUUCAGUCACACCAUGUAUGUCACGUAGCCACAGUAUACCACCUGUAGCAAAA